rnacentral:rRNA from 1 species
AUUGAACGCUGGCGGCAGGCCUAACACAUGCAAGUCGAGCGGAUGAAGGGAGCUUGCUCCUGGAUUCAGCGGCGGACGGGUGAGUAAUGCCUAGGAAUCUGCCUGGUAGUGGGGGAUAACGUCCGGAAACGGGCGCUAAUACCGCAUACGUCCUGAGGGAGAAAGUGGGGGAUCUUCGGACUUCACGCUAUCAGAUGACCCUAGGUCGGAUUAGCUAGUUGGUGGGGUAAAGGCCUACCAAGGCGACGAUCCGUAACUGGUCUGAGAGGAUGAUCAGUCACACUGGAACUGAGACACGGUCCAGACUCCUACGGGAGGCAGCAGUGGGGAAUAUUGGACAAUGGGCGAAAGCCUGAUCCAGCCAUGCCGCGUGUGUGAAGAAGGUCUUCGGAUUGUAAAGCACUUUAAGCUGGGAGGAAGGGCAGUAAGUUAAUACCUUGCUGUUUUGACGUUACCAACAGAAUAAGCACCGGCUAACUUCGUG